AGUCGAGCGAGCUUGCCUAGAUGAAUUUGGUGCUUGCACCAGAUGAAACUAGAUACAAGCGAGCGGCGGACGGGUGAGUAACACGUGGGUAACCUGCCCAAGAGACUGGGAUAACACCUGGAAACAGAUGCUAAUACCGGAUAACAACACUAGACGCAUGUCUAGAGUUUAAAAGAUGGUUCUGCUAUCACUCUUGGAUGGACCUGCGGUGCAUUAGCUAGUUGGUAAGGUAACGGCUUACCAAGGCAAUGAUGCAUAGCCGAGUUGAGAGACUGAUCGGCCACAUUGGGACUGAGACACGGCCCAAACUCCUACGGGAGGCAGCAGUAGGGAAUCUUCCACAAUGGACGCAAGUCUGAUGGAGCAACGCCGCGUGAGUGAAGAAGGGUUUCGGCUCGUAAAGCUCUGUUGGUAGUGAAGAAAGAUAGAGGUAGUAACUGGCCUUUAUUUGACGGUAAUUACUUAGAAAGUCACGGCUAACUACGUGCCAGCAGCCGCGGUAAUACGUAGGUGGCAAGCGUUGUCCGGAUUUAUUGGGCGUAAAGCGAGUGCAGGCGGUUCAAUAAGUCUGAUGUGAAAGCCUUCGGCUCAACCGGAGAAUUGCAUCAGAAACUGUUGAACUUGAGUGCAGAAGAGGAGAGUGGAACUCCAUGUGUAGCGGUGGAAUGCGUAGAUAUAUGGAAGAACACCAGUGGCGAAGGCGGCUCUCUGGUCUGCAACUGACGCUGAGGCUCGAAAGCAUGGGUAGCGAACAGGAUUAGAUACCCUGGUAGUCCAUGCCGUANACGAUGAGUGCUAAGUGUUGGGAGGUUUCCGCCUCUCAGUGCUGCAGCUAACGCA
rnacentral:rRNA from 1 species